UGCUGAAAUCGCAUUUGUCGUCAGCCACGCAGCGCCCCAUAAAUUCAUAGCUGCCGGGCCGAAACGUGAUGGUUGGAUGUGCUUGUCCGUCGAGGUAAGUGUACCCAGAUGCACACGUCUCACAGAGGCCAGGUUUGGAUCCCCCGAAAGAAUCCUGUGCGGUCUCAUCGCCGCACGAGUUGCAUCCCUUGUACAGACCGUUGUUUUCGUUGAACUCCCAUUCUGCGAAAUCACAGCACCGUUUGUUACCUUCACCACCGAGGCACGCUUUGCCGCCGAAGCAGUCAUCGGUGGUGGUGCAUGAUCCGCCCGGCGAAGACUUCGUUGAGCAAGCGCCCGUGCCUGAGUCGCACUUUCCACUUGCGCAACCUUCGCUUGUGACGCCCUCAGCGCAGCAAUAACCACCCAAGCUCACACCAGAUAGGCACUGCCAACUGCUACCAGAGGCCGUCUCCCCUGCAGCACGCUUGUUACUGCAAUAAUACGAAGUUGAGCUCAUAGAGUACAAAUACUGUGUGCUGAAAUCGCAUUUGUCGUCAGCCACGCAGCGCCCCAUAAAUUCAUAGCUGCCGGGCCGAAACGUGAUGGUUGGAUGUGCUUGUCCGUCGAGGUAAGUGUACCCAGAUGCACACGUCUCACAGAGGCCAGGUUUGGAUCCCCCGAAAGAAUCCUGUGCGGUCUCAUCGCCGCACGAGUUGCAUCCCUUGUACAGACCGUUGUUUUCGUUGAACUCCCAUUCUGCGAAAUCACAGCACCGUUUGUUACCUUCACCGCCGAGGCACGCUUUGCCGCCGAAGCAGUCAUCGGUGGUGGUGCAUGAUCCGCCCGGCGAAGACUUCGUUGAGCAAGCGCCCGUGCCUGAGUCGCACUUUCCACUUGCGCAACCUUCGCUUGUGACGCCCUCAGCGCAGCAAUAACCACCCAAGCUCACACCAGAUAGGCACUGCCAACUGCUACCAGAGGCCGUCUCCCCUGCAGCACGCUUGUUACUGCAAUAAUACGAAGUUGAGCUCAUAGAGUACAAAUACUGUGUGCUGAAAUCGCAUUUGUCGUCAGCCACGCAGCGCCCCAUAAAUUCAUAGCUGCCGGGCCGAAACGUGAUGGUUGGAUGUGCUUGUCCGUCGAGGUAAGUGUACCCAGAUGCACACGUCUCACAGAGGCCAGGUUUGGAUCCCCCGAAAGAAUCCUGUGCGGUCUCAUCGCCGCACGAGUUGCAUCCCUUGUACAGACCGUUGUUUUCGUUGAACUCCCAUUCUGCGAAAUCACAGCACCGUUUGUUACCUUCACCACCGAGGCACGCUUUCCCGCCGAAGCAGUCAUCGGUGGUGGUGCAUGAUUGGCCGACCAGGGACUGAGGGUUUUCUUCAGCAGCUGAAACUGUGAAAUCGUCCCGCAGUGAAGUUGUCAAGAGCAAGCAAGCGUACAGGAAAGCCGAAUGUUGUGUCAUCUCUUCUUCCCGACAAUAUGAUGCUCGAUACACCAGCGCACAGCCCGGUAGUACGGGGCGGCCGCGAUGAUAGCCCUGAAACCAGCUCUCGGCUUCGCGGUCAGGCCAGGGCUGGCGAUCCCUUCCGGUUUAUCCUCGCACGAACCGGAGGUGGCUCUCCGGAGGAGCUGGGUUCGGACCCCGCGCGACCGGGUUACGGCCGGUUCGUCGCACCUCGAGCGCGUACCAAGUACCACGCACGCUCACGCGGAGCCGGGGAGAGGUUCGCCACCCGACCCCCGGGGAACUGCGCGCGGUGUUGUGGGCGAUCUUGCGAAAGAUCGAGGUAGGUCGAGAAAAAUCGGGCGACCGCCUGGGCCGUUCAAAACUCAC
rnacentral:lncRNA from 1 species